UGUAAAGGAAUAGAUUAAUUAACCUCCCUAUGUUGGGAUCUUGUUAUUUUGUUCGGGGUUUCGGGAUUAUUAACAUUAUGACUUUUCGUGGCUUGGGGUUUCGUUUCGGGUCUCACACCCUGCUUCACCAUCUUGCCUCGACUCCGGACCGAGUCGAUGGUGUGGGUGCGCAGCGGUGUUGUUGCAGAACACUCGGGGAUUUGAGAGCGAAUUCACCUCACUCCACCUGCCGUCCUCCAAAGGCCUCUUUUGCAUCCCCUCUGCUGCGCUGAUUGUUACUGGACCUUGAGCCACGUUCGUAACGCACCUAUCGACGCACAUUGUGAGACUCAUAGCUGUCGGACUGGACUGGCGCGGUCUGUCUACCACUGCUGUCUGCCCGCCCCUACGGUUGGCCACUGACGCGGCCUGUCUACCAUUGCUGUCGGCCUGCCUCUGCGGUUGGCCACUGACGCCGCCUGUCUGCCGCUGCUGUUAGCCCACUUCUACCGUUGGCCACUGGCGCUGCCUGUCCUCCAUCACCGCCUGAUCUACACUGCAGCCGGUAUGGUCUCUGUCCUUCUCGCCCCUUCACUGUCAUCUCGUAUUUUGGUACAAGAUUGGCAGUAGCUGAGGAAAGUAUGAAGCCACGUCCAUUGUGCUAUAUAUGUAUCCUCCAAAAUCUUCCUUGUUCUGGACUCCUAUUAGCGAAUUCCUGUGUGGUUAUAAAGGAGUGAAUAUCUGGUCAAAAUAAGGACCCCGCUGAGACGACAACCUGCCUCUCCGCGCUUCAUUUCCUCACACAUAGACAUUAAUGAUCAUGAGUGUCUAGACAGGACUCGAACUACUGACCCAAGUGUCUUUCACCUUAGGAAACAACAGCAGGGUGAGUACGAACUCCCGCCUGCACAACACUAUCACGACCAGAGGGUGACGUCUCGAGGGUCUGAUCGACCGCUCUUCGAGGACCAGAGGAGUUUUUACAUUUACCCAUAUGGAUACUAUAAAAAAAAAUAAUUAGUUCCAGGAACCAAGGGACACCGCCUAAUGGGACAACGAAGGGAUUGAGCGCUGUCAGCCGUGAACGGGGUACCUCGUCGCCAUGGGGGCCACUCGUUUUAAAAAAGAGGCCCCUCAUGAUUCGAAAGUUUGUCCACAACAGAGUUAAGACCUUCUAGCACAACGCAUCCCAGCCCAGGCACCCAACCAUCCAACACAGGACAACCUCAUGAGACGGAGAUAUAGGGGAGAACGCUGGGCUCCUCGACGGAUUGGACCCUUCCUCCUCUCCCACAUUCCCGUCAUAGGUAGACGGCAGUUACUUAAGUAUAUAAU